CCAAAUCGCUAGGAAGCCACGUAUUCACGAAGCCACGCAGUGACGUCGCCACGCACGUACGCACGCACUUGCCACAAGGAGACGCUGUUCAGUUUACCGGAUCCUGUCCCGCGCCAGCCAACCAGGACAAGGCCGGGGAGCUCGAGACAGGCAGCCUAGACCAAGAACCGGAAGGAGGAAAAGGAACCGGAGGGAGGAAGAGGAGGGGCGGGACGAGACCACCAGGCAAGAGUCCAAACUUUCCCGCGGCGACCUAACUGCACCUCCAGUGUCUUCCCCCAGAGGGCACAGAAGCAGCAAGAAGGGCGGGAACACUUGACUGGGGUCCAUGCAGCUCUAGGCUGAGUCUUGCAGGGCUGAGCCCCCCAGGCCUGCUCUCCUGUGUCCUGGCCGCUCCGUCAGUGCCUGCCAGUGGGGUCCAGAGGGACCGUUUUUUUAACGCCUCUUUUGCAGAGACCUCGUCCGCACAGGGGCUUGUUCUUCUGUGUCUUUGCAGGGCUGUUUUGGACUCAGUAUUCACCUAAGCACUCCAAAUUACCCAGCACACCCUGCCUGCAUGGCGCUGCGCUGCACCUUCACUCUGGUCACGGGUCUGGCAGUCAGCUCACCAAUUCCUCCUGCUUCCCUGGGACUUGCCGGCUUUUAGCACUGCAAUUCACUCAGCAAACUGGGACUGUUGGUCACCCUACCUGGCAGCCAGUGAUAAGGUGAGGGCCACUCCUGGGAGGGAGGACACCUGUGGGGAAAAUUCUUGUGUUAUUUAUUUCUCCUUCGGGAUAGGGUGCCUGCAGCGCUUCAUGGGAGGGGGUGGGCUGAUGCUGCGGGCUCAGAAGUUUCAAGGGCAUCUGGGGAGACCAGAUAUUCAGAGACCUUCUAGAUGUGCCUGUUCCAUGUAUCAGGGACGCAGGUUUUCCCAACAGGGCUGGUGUCAUUGGCAUGACAGACCUGCCUUGGCUGAGCGUUCACCUGUCUUUGGAGUUCAGCCACCUUAGCAAGUCCUGGGUUUGUUCUUCAGACUUUGCUGCUCGCCCAUUGCCUGGAUCGGGGGCUACUUUGUAAACCACCAGGAAGACUCCAGUGUUUCUGGUUAAUUUUUAGAUGUUUGUUAAUUGCUCUUGGUCUCUCAUUAAUCCCCUGUGGGUCAUCCAGGAAACAUACUCACCACUGUCUGUUCUCUGAGUUUUCAUUUCCAGGCAUCCGCCCUGCCUGGAUCUCCUCACCUGCCAGGAACUUCCUCUCCACAAGCCGGCCAUCCCAGCAAAAGUUCUAACACCAAAGGUCUGGCAACUAGCCUGCCAUCUUGUGCCUGGAGCCGCCUGCGUGCCACCUACUCCCGAAGAUGGGAACCUUGUUGCCAGUUGGGCAGAUGCGGGGCAAUCCUGUACCAAGACCCCAUUUUACCACCUGCUUUCUCAGACCACUCUGGAACCCACUGUCUCAGAUUGUGUCCUCCAGGAAGCAGACCAUGAGAGGGAGUUGGCAGGGCCAAAGAUUUACUGGGGCUAACUAACACUCAGGAAAGGGAUAGGAAGGAAACAGGGCUGGAGAGCAGGUUGAGCCCGACCUGACAGUCUCGAGCAGCCCAACAGGGAGGUGUGGAGCAAGGGUUGCCCACUAGAGGGGCCUGCAUUGGGUACGGGUGAUGGGGUCCACAUGGUACCUGGCAUAUAGCAGGCUGUGCAAUCCAUAUUAACUGACUGGAUAAAUUAAUGCCCAGAAAAGGUGCCCUGGAGAAUGGGUGUGUGCUGAACACAAUAGGGAAGGGCCCAGCAUCUGCCUUGGCAUAGGCAGAACUGUGCUGUGCCCUGCAACAGGCCACCUGAGAGCUGCUUUGAUCUUGUGUGUACAUUAGAUGACUGCCAGGGGCAUGAAGGGGAUGUGCUUCCAGGGCAUUUGCUGGCAGGGCGUCUCGUGAUCUCUUGGUAUUGGUGUGAGCACAGCCUGGCAGGAGAGGGCAGAUCUCCAUGCAAAGUAUGUCAGAAAGCAGAUGGAAGCCAGGCCCCCUCCUGAAAGAGGCUCCUUGAAGGCUCCUGGGACCACAUUAUCAUUCUCUUCACUCGAGAGAUGAGGACACUGAAAUUCAGAGAGGGGAAGUGAUUUGCCUCAGCUUGUACUAAAGAAACAUUUCAACAGAGAACCCAGUGGAAAUUAUGACAUGUUAUCUUCUCAGAGUCCUGAACUCCCAUCCCUACCUCAGAAGAGACUCCUCUGUUCACAGAAGCUAAAGGCAGUUCCUUCCCAAUGGCAACUAUGUUUGGAUGUUGGAUCUACACUUUCUCAAGCACUGUGAUCUUCAAAUCAAAGGAGAUUUCUCCCAUUAUAUACUUCUUAUGAUCAACAAAUUCCAUCAUCUCCCCACUAAGAGAAAGUACUCCAAGAUGAUAGAAUGAUUUUAAAGUUAUGGGACUACAACAGCAGCCACAGGAACCUUGAACUGCCAUCCAGGGCCAUGCAGCAAACAAGCAACAGGGAAAUAUCCCACUAUGCAAUCCUAUUUUGAGAUGAUAUUUAGGAUGAGAGAACAUGCAUUAGUUACCUACCAGCUUGACAGGAAUGGAUUUCCAAAUCUGACACACCAUAGCCUGAAUUCUCACCAGUUUGCUCCUGGAAAGGCCCGCUCAUGCAUGAGCCCCUGCCACUCUUCUAAAUAAGCUUCCAGGCAUUACCUGCAUGCUGUGUUCCUGUGGUGGGAUGGCAGUAAUCUCUGCUAAGAUAAACGGGAGCUUCUGUGGAUAAAGCAUAAACGCAGUGAAGUGUGUGUGGCUGGAAGAUUUAAUGCCUCUACAGUGCUUAGAUACAAGUUGAGCUUGGAAUUCCAGAGGUAGAGCACUGCUGAUUGGAGACAUAUUAAGUAAAAUGUACUGUGGAAAUGAGAUAAAACCUUUAUUCUUGCUAAUGAUUGUCAUUGUAUGUAUUCAGGUGUCCAACAAAGGAUUUUAGAAUAAAGUGUGCCUUUAAAGUUU
rnacentral:lncRNA from 1 species